UGCACUGGUCUUUUUGGUUGGUGUGUGUGGGUGCGUGGGAUCUUCGUGGGUAGUAGUCAAGUGAUGGGGUGACGCAGAGUGGUAGCUAGGCUUCCUUAUUGGAUUGGAGUGCAAGCGUGUGGCCUGUGGGGUUGGGAAAUCCGCCCCACAUAUCAGGUGAGGCGUGAUGCGGACACCAUUAUUGGUGGUAGUUAGUGUGCCUGUGCUGCCUAGAAAAGCCUCUAGCGAGUGCGUGCAUGGCCCGUACCGGAAACCGACACAGGUGGUCAGGUAGAGAAUACUAAGGCGUUCGGGUGAACUGUGGUUAAGGAACUCGGCAAAAUGCCCCCGUAACUUCGGGAGAAGGGGGACCAUUACUAGUUGCUGACAGCAUUAUUGGCUGGUGGUGGUCGCAGAGGAGAGAGGGAAGCGACUGUUUAUUAAAAACACAGGUCCGUGCGAAAACGUGGAAGUUGAGGUAUACGGACUGACGCCUGCCCGGUGCUGGAAGGUUAAGAGGACCCGUGAGCAUGCUUUUGGUGUGCGAGGCGGAGAAUUGAAGCCCCAGUAAACGGCGGUGGUAACUAUAACCAUCCUAAGGUAGCGAAAUUCCUUGUCGGGUAAGUUCCGACCUGCACGAAUGGCGUAACGACUUCCCUGCUGUCUCAACCACAGGCCCGGUGAAAUUGCAGUACGAGUAAAGAUGCUCGUUUCGCGCGGCAGGACGAAAAGACCCCGGGACCUUUACUAUAGCUUGGUAUUGGUGUUUGGUCAUGCUUGUGUAGGAUAGGUGGGAGACUGUGAAACCGUAACGCUAGUUGUGGUGGAGUCGGCCAGUGAAAUACCACUCUGGUGUGAUUGGGUACCUGAACCUUGGCCCGUGAUCCGGGUUGGGGACAGUGCCUGGUGGGUAGUUUAACUGGGGCGGUUGCCUCCUAAAUGGUAACGGAGGCGCCCAAAGGUUUCCUCAGUCUGGUUGGCAAUCAGAUGGUGAGUGUAAGUGUAUAAGGGAGCUUGACUGUGACACUGACGGGUGGAGCAGGUGCGAAAGCAGGGACUAGUGAUCCGGCAUCUACGUGUGGUUGUGGUGUCGCUCAACGGAUAAAAGGUACCCCGGGGAUAACAGGCUGAUCUUCCCCAAGAGUUCAUAUCGACGGGAUGGUUUGGCACCUCGAUGUCGGCUCGUCGCAUCCUGGGGCUGGAGUAGGUCCCA
rnacentral:rRNA from 1 species